rnacentral:rRNA from 1 species
AGAGAGAGACAUGCGCGCAUAUCAAUAAGCGGAGGAAAAGAAACUAACAAGGAUUCCCUUAGUAACGGCGAGUGAAGCGGGAAGAGCUCAAAUUUGAAAUCUUCAAGGUUUUACCUUGACGAAUUGUAGUUUAAAGAAGUGUUUUCUGCUGAAGUUUUGGUAAAAGUUCUUUGGAAUAGGACAUCAUAGAGGGUGAGAAUCCCGUAUUUGACCAUUAUUUUCAGCUUUGUGAUACACUUUCAAAGAGUCGGAUUGUUUGGGAAUGCAGUCCAAAAUGGGUGGUAAAUUUCAUCUAAAGCUAAAUAUUGGCGAGAGACCGAUAGCGAACAAGUACCGUGAGGGAAAGAUGAAAGAACUUUGAAAAGAGAGUUAAACAGUACGUGAAAUUGUCAAAAGGGAAGCGUUUGACACCAGUGUUGUUUUCUCGAAAAUCAAUUAAAAAUGGCUCGAUUUUGUAUUGUUGAGACCUUAAAAGCUCACUGUACAUUUUUCGUGUCUUUUUUAAUGCACUUUUCGUUUAACAAGUCAACAUCAGUUUCUUUUGUUGUAAAAGGGUCAUUGGAAGGUGGCUUUCUUUUCGGAGAAAGUGUUUAUAGCCUUUGGCCUCUGCAAUCGGAGAGACUGAGGUCUGCAGCGUAGACUCUUCGGGGUUAGAUACAUUUGUGCUAAGUUAUAGCUUUUUAUAGACAACUUGUUGACUAUAAUUAGUCUUGUAGCUUACUCGCUUAUGCUAUUUUACCUACGCUUAGGAUGUUGAAGAUGUAGCACAUCAU